UUUGCUUCCCAAGGAGGCGUGUACCUUCUGAAUCCAGGGCACAGGCAGUGCCUCUCGGUCUGAGAAGCCAUUUAAAUCCAGAGGGAGAAAGAAAGAUGUCAAGCCUAGCGAGGGAACAAGAACCCCCAUUAUUAGCCAGGCCUACACCCACAGCUUAGCCCUUCCUGCUACAAUCAUCCCUCAAGCUGGAGCAACAGAAGCUAAACAAACACCAUUCUUCAGAGGCUGGAGAAAGCUUCCAGAGGUGACGCAGCCAUAUGCCAGGAGGGGAUGGAGAGAAUCAGGAGACAGAAUCAGGCUUACGGAAGCCAGACGGAGUGUCUCAGUGAUAAAGCUGGCCUCAAAGGAGAGGAAGGGCUGACCCGGCUCCCUUCCCCAGGCAACUUACUGCCGAGGAGGCCUCGCUGAAACGGCUCUCCACUCCCGCUGGCCUGCAGCCAGCCGAGCAGCGGGAGGAACCGCGUCGGCAAGCUGCAUCCCGAAGAUAGCCCGCUCCCGGACUAGGAAAAUAAGCACACUCCGAGUUAUCUGCCUCGAGCUAGCAGCAGGCCGCCCGUCCGUUAUGUGAAACGGGCGGGACUGAGGCAGGGAAGUGUUUUAAAUAUCUUGUUUUGUUUUGUUAUUUUUUGGCCAAUUGGAACCGAGGCCGGCUUCAGGCACGGUGGCAGAAGGGCUCACCUUCAGAGCAUGGAACUGACCGAGUCCUGUUACAGCCACAAAGACGUAAUUAGGACUUGUCCCUACCUUGGAGAAGAGGUGCCCUCCAGAAGGCUUUUUUUUUUUUUUUUUUUAAACUUCCUAGGAGGGGCUGGUUGGUAGGAUCCAAAAAAUGGAGGGAGGCGGAAAGGGCAGGUGGAGGGGAGGGGAGGGGUGCGGGGUACAUGACCAUCAGGCAGAUGGCCUCAGUGUGGGUGCGGAGAGACUUAAGAGAUGCAGGAAGAAAAGGACAAUCAGAAGGACGAUGAUUCAGGACCUCCCCUGACCUGCUCUUUUUGUCCCCAGCAAUCACCGUUAUGUAAAGAGGAGCACGUGUUUAUUUCCUGUUUGUUUCUUUGUCCCACUAGACCAGUGGCAAUGUCAGGAGACAUUUUAGGCUGUCCCAUCUGGAGGAAGGGGGCUGCUACUAGGAUCUAGAGGGUCCUAAACACUUUAACAAACACAGGACAGCUCCCCCCCUCGCCCCACUACAACAGAGAACUAGCCAGCCCUGAGUAUCCCUAACGCCAAGGCUAAUAAGAAAGCCUGCUCUAAACGGAAAGCUUUAGGAAGGGAGAGCCUGGUGUGAAAUUCUUCACCUUUGUGCCCUACAAGUGGCAGAGCUCAAUUAAACGCCACCUCCCACCUGGACAGAAGCACUCGGGUCUCCCACCUGAGCACCCGCUCCUGGUCUCCCACCUGAACAGGGCAGGGGAGUUAGACUGGGAAGAAACUGGAGUAUUUACACACAUGCACAGGCUGCAAGCAAUCCUUUGCUAAGAAGUCAGACCUCAUCCCUUCUCUGCUCAAAACCCAUCAGUAGAUCCCACCCAAGUGGUAAAAAUGGCCCACCAGAUCAGUGCCCUGCUCCUGAUCACUGACUCCACUGCGUUCUUCUGCGCUCCCAGGGCUCACUCUGCUCCCUCUCCUCCCGCCACCCUGAGCCUCCUCCAUCUGUUCUUCCCACCGCCUAACCAUUCCCUCCCUCCUGCAGCCCUUCCCCGUUACUCUCCAACUUCCCCUCCCCCAGACCAUCUUCCCUGCUCCCCAAGCCACCUAAUACAAGCCCUGUUUCCUCCUGGGCCUACACGUAUCUGCCUUCCUGCCUUCUCCUCUGCCAUCACUAUGUCUUCCCCUCCCCGCGCCCUCCCAGAUGCCUCCCCCCUGCCUCAGAGCCAUCUUCUUCCAUGUUAACCUUUUCUCUUUCCACAUCAAGAAGCAGAACCGUGCAGUGACUGAGUGCGUCGCUGCUGGCAUCAGACUCUCUGAUGUCUGGGUGUGAAUCUUGCUGCCGUACUAGCCAGCUGCCCCGCCUGGCUUGAGGUACAGAAUUCUCUGUGCCUUGAUUUCCUCAUCUGUACAAUGGGAACAAUAAUAAUACCCACCCGGAAAUCCACUGCGUCAAGGUGGUCAAGCACGAGUCGCCACACAAGACACAGUGAGCACUCAUGCAGUUGCUUUUACCACGUCCCUCUGAUGACUCUUAAAAAGGAAAUUUCUGGAGGCUUCCAAGUCAUUUUUCUUCCUUUUCUCAACAUCAAAAUUUCCAAAGGAGGGUAAGGAUAAACCCCACUGGCUGGCACGCUCCAAGCUUUAUGUCCAGUGCUAUUCCAAGCACUUAUCCUCCCAAACCUGCAAGAUGGGCUCCAUAUAUUCACCAUAUAUUCAUCAACCCAUUUCCUUGAUGAGGAAGCUGAGGAACUAUCAAUAUCCCCUCCCACUAAGAAAACAUCUCAGGUGCCUGGAUGGCUCAGUCGGUUAAGCCUUGGCCUUCAGUUCAGGUGCGAUCCCGAGUUCCUGGGAUCGAGCCCCACAUGGGCUCCCUGCUCCACCUGGAACCUGCUUCUCCCUCUGUAGCUC